rnacentral:rRNA from 1 species
UACGAAGGGGGCUAGCGUUGUUCGGAUUUACUGGGCGUAAAGCGCACGUAGGCGGAUCGUUAAGUCGGGGGUGAAAUCCUGGAGCUCAACUCCAGAACUGCCUUCGAUACUGGCGAUCUUGAGUCCGGAAGAGGUGAGUGGAACUCCUAGUGUAGAGGUGGAAUUCGUAGAUAUUCGCAAGAACACCAGUGGCGAAAGGCGGCUCACUGGCCCGAUACUGACGCUGAGGUGCGAAAGCGUGGGGAGCAAACAGG